AGUCCCCCAAACAGGACCCUCAUGAGGUCUGACGUUCCCGUCGGCGUUAUAUUGCACUUGAUAGGACUGUUCUUGGGCAGCACCCGCGGGUCACCCCUCGAUCCGUGGCAGUUCGUGACUUACAGAAGUCAUUAACAGCCAUUAGAAUCGGAAAUAAGUAAUAGGAAGAGUGCCCCAUCCUGAUAUCCGGGAAGGCCUCUGAUGUAAUGAGUGAGCAGACGACCGACCAAGCGAAUUUUUGACUUCUUGAAAUACUUUCUGGCCGAGGGCGCAGCGAAGCGUGCUUGCUUUAGGGCCAGGCACAUCGCAGAACAUACUUUGGGUGUGGAUACUGCUCUUCAGGUUUUGAUGCCUACAUUACCCCUAAGACUAGAAGAGGCCCCAUAACUAGUCUUUGUUGAGGCAGGGCUUGCGUGGCAGCUGUUGUGGAGUUCAUGGUGUUGAAGCUGCUCAAGCGUGGCAGCAUGGAGGGGGGGGAGCUCACACGCGGGGAGGUACUCUCCCUGCUGGCAAGACUGGCCUUUGCAACUGCUGCUUCCUAUUUUACUGUGAAGCUUCUGGUGUCAGCUAUGGACCCAACCUCCAAACAGAAGAAGGAUGCCAAGAGGAAGGCCCAAGAAGUUAUGCAGAGGCUGGGCAUCAAGGAGAAGGUUUCAUUGAGUGAGUAUGAAAUGAUGAUUGCCAGCCAGCUGGUAGAGCCUUCACAGUUGAGCACAUCCUGGAAGGAUGUGGCAGGACUCUCAACUGUCAUCCGGGAGCUCAGGGAGACUCUCAUCCUGCCUAUCCAGCAGCGCACUCGCCUCCAGGGAUCCCGCCUCAUCCAGCCUCCCAAAGGUGUACUACUGCACGGCCCUCCUGGCUGUGGCAAAACAUUGCUGGCCCGAGCAGUGGCCAGGGAAGCUGGAGCACGCUUCAUCAACUUGGAUGUGGCUGCACUCACAGACAAAUGGUAUGGUGAAUCACAGAAGCUCUCAGCUGCAGUAUUCUCUCUAGCCUCCAAGAUCCAGCCAUGCAUUAUCUUCAUUGAUGAAAUUGAUUCAUUCCUGCGAGUUCGAGCCACAGGUGAUCACGAAGCUACUGCUAUGAUGAAAGCUCAGUUCCUGCAGCAGUGGGACGGCCUUGCUACAGAUAACAGCCGCUUUGUAGUGGUGAUGGGGGCAACCAAUAGACCUCAGGACGUGGACAGAGCCAUCCUUCGCCGCAUGCCCGCAGCCUUCCACAUUCCUUUGCCAGGUUUAGAACAGCGUAAGGAAAUACUGCAGCUUGUGUUACGUGAUGAACAACUGUCAGGUGAUGCAAAUAUUGCAGUCCUUGCCAGGGAAACAGAGACUUUUUCUGGAUCAGAUCUCAUGGAGUUGUGUCGUACUGCAGCUGUCUACAGGUUACGACAUCUACUGGAUGACCCAAGCACUGAGAGCUCACAAGCAUGCAGUACAGAGUCAGAGCAGGCAGAGCCCUUGCGACCAAUUACAAUGGCCGACUUUAAACAGGCACUGGGGAAGAUGCAAGGCUCAAGUGUAUACAAUAGACAGGCUGAAACUCUACUUAAGAUGGACUUGGACUGAGUGAGGUUAUGUAGAAACAUGAGUUAGAUGAAAAGCAAAAUGAGAGCAUGGUAGAGUGACCAAGUGGUCCUCCAUCAGUCAAAGACCUCAGAGUGGUUUAGUCUUAUCAGUGUCAGCUGGGAUACAAAAUAGAGCAUUAGUGGUACCUCUAGAUUGCAUGCAAUUGCUUGUACUCUGGUGCAGUGUGUGGUUAUAUUCAGGUUUUAUGAGAAGCUAAUACAGAAGUAAGAUAAAUUCAUUGUCAAGAAUAAUUCUGAAGAUACAGUUUUAUGUUUCUGGAAUAAGUGCACCAACAGUUUUGUUAACCAGUAUAAUAUAUUUUAUAUAACCUUGGUUUAUAUAUAUAUAUAUA